CCUACGGGUGGCUGCAGUGAGGAAUAUUGGUCAAUGGACGAGAGUCUGAACCAGCCAAGUAGCGUGAAGGAUGACUGCCCUAUGGGUUGUAAACUUCUUUUAUAUGGGAAUAAAAUGUUCCACGUGUGGGAUUUUGUAUGUACCAUAUGAAUAAGGAUCGGCUAACUCCGUGCCAGCAGCCGCGGUAAUACGGAGGAUCCGAGCGUUAUCCGGAUUUAUUGGGUUUAAAGGGAGCGUAGGUGGAUUGUUAAGUCAGUUGUGAAAGUUUGCGGCUCAACCGUAAAAUUGCAGUUGAAACUGGCAGUCUUGAGUACAGUAGAGGUGGGCGGAAUUCGUGGUGUAGCGGUGAAAUGCUUAGAUAUCACGAAGAACUCCGAUUGCGAAGGCGGCCUGCUGGACGACAACUGACGGUGAGGCGCGAAAGCGUGGGGAGCAAACAGGAUUAGAUACCCGGGUAGUC
rnacentral:rRNA from 1 species